UGAGCAACAGAAGCAGGGAGUGGGGGAGGGGGCGGCUGCCCUGUCCUGAUCCCAGCCCAGGAGGCCUUGGGGAAGCCGGUGGGGUGCCUGGCGGGGCUGCUCAGGACUCAAUCCUUCCAUAGGAAGAAAACACUGACCCUGGCCAAAGCUUCGGUACACGUGGAACAGGGCCCAAAGCAAGACAGACUUGAUGACCACUGAGAUGCAGGAGCCCACGAUGGCAGCAGCUUCUCCCGUGUAGGAGCUGUCUUGGCCCCACGCUCGGCUUAUCUGAAGGGACAAUAACAUGUGGCUCAGCACCGAGUUUUCACCAGCAGCCCUGCUAGAGCCGGUGGGGAUUGGCCACCAGAAAGAAAGGAGAGCUCUGCUCAUCACGCUGCCCUCCACAGCUCCAGCUGCUGCCGCUCCCAAUCUAAGAAAGAAAUACUUCCUGCACCAAGAUUUGCAUGAGGCCAAAGGUUAUUGGGAGCCUCUGAGGGCAGGGAAGGUUGGCCUGGAGCUUAGCCAACCUCAGUCAGCCUGCCCAGUGGCUGUGAGCAGCCUUUUGGGUCAUGCCGGCCCAGCUGGAUUUUGCCCCCCAGGGAAGUAGGUGGGUGGGAGUUUAGGUUGGCCUGUUUGCUCCUUGGGACUCUCUCCCUCUCCCUCUCCCUAAUAAAUCAAUACAUCCUGAAUAAGAUUUGCAUACUCUCUGAAGAGGAAGCCAGCCUCCCUGAGCAGCAGAGGAGCCACUACCCUCCCGGGGACCAGGAACACCCCUCUUCUCAACCCACCCCUGGCCGCCAUCACUACCCAAGCUGGGCUAGAUGCUUGGCAAAGGACAAACGCAGGGCAGGACAGACUGCUGCCCCAGCUCCUCCUUUCUGUUCUGGGUGGCCCCUGCAAGGCAGGAAUUGAAAAGUGGGGUGGUAGAAGCUAGAGAGGGGGCCCUGCAGACCUGGAGCCCCAGGCCCCUUUAUAACAUCUGCCCCAGCCUUGCCCCUGCUGCCUGGUUCAUUACAAAGAAAACCAUGAACAUCAUAAACCACAUUAAUAACAAAACCAAUCAAAGCCAAAUCAAUAGAUGCUGAAAAGGCUUUUGAAAAAAUCCAGGGCCUAUUAGUGUCAAAAACCAAAAACAACAAAACCAGCAGAAAAUGCAGGAAUAAAAGGGCUUUUCCUUAACACAGAACACCCGUCUCUAACGCCAACAGCCUUUGCAGGAGAGGCAGGAUCAAGGAUGCCCACCAGCAUCCUGCUCCAUGACCAGCUCUGUGCCAAGUCUGACUUGUUCACUAUUGUUUAACGGGGACCACAGUCCUCGAAACUCUAAAAGAUGAAGGGACCAUGAAGCAAGGCAAGGAGAAACUGAAACCGCUGCUUUGGGUCAGCUGAAGGUCGGCUGAAGCAAUCUGGACCCUCCCCAGAAUGGCAGGAUCCAUCCGUGUGGAUCAGCGUCCCUCUUGUCUGUCCACAACACAGCUGGCAGCCAGAGGUAGAGACAGCACACUCAAGAGAGCCAGGGCACAUGUGCAUGGAAUCUCUGGGAGUCUGGCUCCAGGCCUCGCCGAGACCGUGGCCGUGGGGGCUCUCUGAGCCAUCCCUACCUACAGGGGUAGCCCCACUUGUGCUGGAGUGUGGGGGCCUCUCCAGCUCUGCUCCCUGAGGCCCCAUGCUGGGGCCCCUCCCCUCUCCCCUCAUGAAGCCCAGGGUCCAUGUCCUUAACUCUAGCCCUCCUGUGGGACUGCCUGCACGGGGUCAGUGAGACCCUCUGCCUCAGUUUCCCUAUCACCACCACCCACAACAGAGAGAAUAUGUCUUUUGGCCAAGGCCAGCUCCAUCCAAAACAACCACUCUUCUCUACUUUGGUUGGUGGGCACAGAGGAGCAGGGCAAGGCCACAGUUCAGCCCACAACUGAACCCUGACCCAGGCUGGGAUGGUCCCCCUUGCCUGCCUGCUUGUAGCUCCCCUGACAUGGCUGUGCUAAGCCGGUGAGAACCAGGGUCAGCUUGACGUG